rnacentral:misc_RNA from 1 species
CUAGAACAAUUCCCAAAAUAGCAAUUUUACUACUACAGUAUAGCAAAAGUUUCUAAUGUCUUUUGACCGUGUCCAUAUACACCACUACGAAACCAGGUCAAAAUUAGAACAGACAAUGUUGAACUAAUGGAGACUUCAGAUGCAUCUGCCAGUUGAAAAAUAGCAUCGACAAAAUUAGCUAUCGACUGGCGUUGCCUUAACCUUACAAACAGGGAUGGUUUCAUUCUUGCUUAAGAGCUUCCAAGUUGGAUGAACAUCGAUAUCAUGCAGGGACACUUUGUCUUCAACAUCUAGCUGACUUAUGUCCACCUCAAUUUUUUGAGGUAUAUUCUCCGCUGGGCACAACAACUUUAGGGAAGGUCUAAUCUUGUUUAGAUAACCACCUUUCUUGAGACCAGGGCACUCGUGCUCCCCUUUGAACACAACAGGCACGUCGACCCUUAAUUUUGUUCCAUCUUCAGCCCAUACAAAGACCAAAUUCAAUAUCUUACCAGUUUCUUCAUCCUUAUGAAUCUUAAUGGGAAGUACUUUUCCAGAUUCCAGUAAAGUUGACGAGCCCGAACCAGCUCGAAUCUGAAGAGGGAAGGUUGUCGAACAAAAGAAAGGGAGAUCAACCGAAUCAAUGAUCGUUUUAAUCUGCUUCCUUUCAGUUGUAAGGAGGAACUUUCUAGAAACAGAACUUGCGGCGACAAUGGAAGUUGGAUCGUCAGGUUUUGACUGGACGUAGUUCUGUGAGAAAACAACGGCCGGAAUACGACCUUGGGCUCGGUCCCUACUGGAAACUCUUCUUCCGCUGACCUCCCUAGGGAUCGCUUGAAUUGUAAAAUACGUUCUCCUGCUAGUUACCUCCGUCGACCUCAGACCUCCGGCGGUGGUUGCCACCGCACGCCACCAUUUCGACAUUCCCGUGAAAGCGUCGAGUGUUGGAGAAAUGGG